rnacentral:rRNA from 1 species
UUCCGGUUGAUCCCGCCAGAGGUCACUGCUAUCGGUGUUCGACUAAGCCAUGCGAGUCAAAUGUUCUUCGUGAACAUGGCGUACUGCUCAGUAACACGUGGAUAACCUGCCCUUAGGUCUGGCAUAACCCCGGGAAACUGGGGAUAAUUCCGGACAGAUCAUCGAUGCUGGAAUGCGCUUUGAUCCAAAGCUAUUGUGCCUAAGGAUGGGUCUGCGGUCUAUCAGGUUGUAGUGGGUGUAAUGUACCUACUAGCCUACGACGGAUACGGGUUGUGAGAGCAAGAGCCCGGAGAUGGAUUCUGAGACAUGAAUCCAGGCCCUACGGGGCGCAGCAGGCGCGAAAACUUUACAAUGCGGGGAACCGCGAUAAGGGGACACCGAGUGCCAGCAUCCUAUGUUGGCUGUCCAUAUGUCUAAAUCACAUGUGUUAGCAAGGGCCGGGCAAGACCGGUGCCAGCCGCCGCGGUAACACCGGCGGCCCGAGUGGUGGCCACUAUUAUUGGGUCUAAAGGGUCCGUAGCCGGUUUGGUCAGUCUUCCGGGAAAUCUGACGGCUCAACCGUUAGGCUUUCGGGGGAUACUACCAGGCUUGGGACCGGGAGAGGUAAGAGGUACUACGGGGGUAGGAGUGAAAUCUUGUAAUCCCUGUGGGACCACCAGUGGCGAAGGCGUCUUACCAGAACGGGUCCGACGGUGAGGGACGAAAGCUGGGGGCACGAACCGGAUUAGAUACCCGGGUAGUCCCAGCUGUAAACUAUGCUCGCUAGGUGUCAGGGACGGUGCGACUGUUUCUGGUGCCGCAGGGAAGCCGUGAAGCGAGCCACCUGGGAAGUACGGUCGCAAGGCUGAAACUUAAAGGAAUUGGCGGGGGAGCACAACAACGGGUGGAGCCUGCGGUUUAAUUGGACUCAACGCCGGGA